rnacentral:lncRNA from 1 species
CAUUUCCAUCGUUCAGAGGGAUCGGUACCAGAUCUUCGAUUGGGCCGCCCCUCUCUUCAGUGAGGUCAUCGCGAGCAUCCAGCCCAUCAAUUGGACAGGGGUUGAAUUGGUCGCUUCUUUGCAAGGCUAUGUUGUAGCAGUGUCUGGCCAGGGCUUGGUCUCCUCGGACCUCUCCGAUCUCCUGAUUGAUGGGGAAUUUCAACUUCAAAUGGU